AACUCGGGCCGUCCUCCACUACACUCCCUGGCCACAGCAGAGAGCUGGCCUGGAAGAGGGGCAACCGGGACAGAAUCCGGCGCCCCGACCGGGACUAGAACCCGGUGUGCCGGCGCCGCAAGGCGGAGGAUUAGCCCAGUGAGCCGCAGCGCUGGCCUAAAUACUCUAAUUAAAAGCCAGAGAUCAUUAGGAUUUUAAAAAAGCAAGACAAAUAUUUUCAUGGUCUCCAACUUACAAACUACUCAAAUUAUGAUGGUGCAAAAAUAUGCAUUCAGUAGAAACUAUACUCUUCAAUUUUGAUCUUUUUCCAGGCUGGUGAUAUGCAGCACAAUAUUCUCUUAUGAUGCUGGGCAGCAGCAGAGAGUUGCAGCGCCCAAACAACCACACAAUCACCAGGGUAAGCUACCAAUGUGUCAAAUACCAUUUGAUUUACAGUAUUUUCAACUUAAAAUGGGUUUAUCAGUACAUAACCUCAUUGUAACACAAGGAGUACCUGUAAGCUGUUCAUAUGACUUAUUUAUUUAUUUAUUUUGAAAGAAUUACAGAGUGAGAGGGAGAGACAGAUACAGAAAGAGAUCUUCUAUCCACUGGCUCACUCCCCAGAUGGCUGCAAUGGCCAGCACUGGACCAGGCCAAACCCAGGAGCCAGGAGCUUCAUCAGGAUCUCCCAUGGGGGUGACAGGGAACCCAACAUUUGUGCCAUCCUCUGCGGCUUUUCCCAGGUCUUUAACAGGGAGCUGGAUUAGAAGUGGAGCAGCUGGGACACAACCAGCACCCGUAUGGGACACCAGUGUUGCAGGCAGUGCCUUUACCCUCUGCAGCCCCUAGUUGUAUCUCUUUUGAUUUUAUAUCUCUUGGACCUUUGUUGUUAGGAAUAUACACUCUUCAUUAUGGAACAUCUCUCUCUCUCUUUUUUAUUUUGAUUCUUUAAAAGGAUUUUGUUUAUUUGAGAGGCAGAGUUUCAGAGAGAGGGAGAGACAGAGAGGUCUUCCAUCGAAACUGCUUGACUCGCCAAACAGCCACAACAGCUGGGGUUGGGCUGUUCUGAAGCCAUGAGCCAGGAGCUUCUUCCGGGUCUCCUACAUGGGUGUAGGAGCCCAAGCACUUGGGUCAUUUGUCACUGCUUUCAGGCCAGAGCAGAUAGCUGGAUUGGAAGUGGAACAGCUGGGUCAUGAAUUGAUUUCCAUGUGGGAUGCUGGUGCCACAGGCAGAAGCUUAGCCUACCACACCACAGCGCCAGCCUGGAACAUCUCUCUUUAGUCAUAUUUCUUAUCUUGAAAGCUGAGUUUUUGUGUUAUAUAGCCACAUCAUUUUCAUGGUAUAUUUUUUCCCAUAAUUUUGAUCAGUAUCUUUGUGUAAAAUAUAUGACAUAUAUGGACUGGCCUUGUGGUACAUCAGAAUGACAAUUUGAGUUGCAACUACUUCAUAUCUUUCUUCUUCUUUUUUUUAAAUAAAGAUUUAUUUAUUUAUUUAUCUGAAAGAGUUACAGAGAGAGGGAGAGACUGAGAUUUCAAAAAAAUUUGUACCACAAUAAAUGUGUCUUUUUUUGGCUUUUUUCUUUUUUUUUCUAACUUUUAUUUAAUAAAUAUACAUUUCCAAAGUACAGCUUUUGAAUUACAGUGCCCCCCCAUAACCUCCCUCCCACCCGCAACCAUCCCAUCUCCCGCUCCCUCUCCCAUCCCAUUCACUAAAUGUGUCUUUUUAUUCUGUAUACAUCGAAAACACUUUUACACUACAGAGUAAAAACAUGAGUGCUUUGGUUGUUACUUUAUUUUUCUAACCACAAUAUGGUUAGGAAGACAUUGAAAUGUUUCCUAUGCCUCCAUAAAAUCAUCCCCAGGGUGGCCCUGCCUUAUAUUACUGAUUUUUUUUGAGAUAAGGAUUUUAUUUAAGAAUAAUAACAAACAAAAUUCAUUAUGAUUCCCAGUUCAUUAAGUGAACCGCUCAUCGAACAGGGCCCUGUAGGAGCCAGGUUCUUAAGUCAUGAUCGAGGUUAGCAGAGACAGGAAGGUGGGAGAUCGCAGUGAGGACCCAGGUGACGACUGAGGCGAUGCCAAGGUCCUGUGCUGGCAUCUGGUUGGAUAGCACGAAGAAGACAGAGUCUUUAUCCUUAAAAACCAGUAACCUCCACUGCAACCUCCACUCAGAAUGCAAGCUUGAUAAAGGCGGGGAACCGGACAGAAUGGGGAUAAGGAGGGUGGGUGGGUGUCGGCACUAUGGCAUAGCAGGUAAAGCCGCAACCCACAGCAUGGGCAUUCCAUAUGGCUGCUGGCUCAAAUUCUGGCUGUUCCUCUUCUGCUCCAGCUUUUUGCUGUGGCCUGGGAAGGCAGUAGAAGAUGGCCCAAGUCCUUGGGCCCCUGCACUCGUGUGGGAGACCCAGAAGAAGCUCCUGGCUCUUGGCUUUGGAUUGGCCCAGCUCCUGUCAUUGCAGCCGUUCGAGGAGUGAAACAGUGGAUGAAAGAUCUCUCUCUCUCUGCCUCUGCCUCUCUGCAGCUCUGCCUUUUAAAUAAAUAAAUAAUCUUUUUUUUUUUUUUUUAAAGAUAGAAUCUGGUGUAUCAGCAUCUUCCCAGCCCAAAGCACAGUGCCUGGCACAGGCAGGAUUUGAGGCGUCAUUUAACAGCCUCCACUCCAGGUGUCGUUCAGAUUUAGAAUUCCCAUGGAGUGUCGAUGUGGAGAUCUUCAUAGAGGAGAGACUAACCUAGGCUUCCGGCGUGGUGGGAGUUUGAAGGAUGGAGGGCCGAUGAAAAGACUUGGAGCAGAUGUGUGGGGAGUGUUAGCGAUGCUGGGAAGUGCAGUGGGCAGUCCCUCAGUCUUGGGAGAUAAGACGAGGAAGUGGUUCUCUGGGCAGGCUGAAUGUCCUGAACAGCACAAAGCAUCCUAGGCACAGUGUCUGAGGGUAGGUUUGGAACACAAGCAGUGGAAAAUAAGAGAAAACUGUGACAUGAGACUUUCGUUAUUAUGCAACAUUGUUGGCCUGGGCCCACUGUUGUCAGCCUUGAUGAAGUUUUUCCUGAAUCCGAGUGUUCAGCCUCCCACACACACAGCCCAUGGUCUGCAGGGACUUCCUCAUUUUGCACAGGCAUGAUGAAAUCUCUGAGGAGUUUGGUCUUAAACUCUUGGCUCAAGCAUAUUUUCUGUGUUCAGUUCAAUUAGGUAAAUCUACUUACUCUAUAGCAAGAAAUCACACCAAAUUCAAAACCGUCCAAACGGGGACUUGGCAUAAGAUCUUGAGACCUCUGCAUGGAACAACAGGAAGAGACAGAGCUUGCAUUAGCAUGUUUAAGCGUGCUCUAGCCAUGAAGUGUCUGAAUUUAGUAGGGAUCCAAAAUCAGCAAUGCCUCAUUUUCACUAAGUGGAGAAUACUGGGUGGGCCCAAGUGAAAAUACAGACUGAAGCAGAGGAUUUAAUGUGAAUUCAACCAACCAACCUUCCUUCCUUCCUCCCUUUCUUUCUUUCUUUCUUUCUCUCUCUCUCUCUUUCUUUCUCUCUCUCUCUCUCUCUCUCUCUCUUUCUUUCUUUCUUUCUUUCUUUCUUUCAGACUCAUUUAUUUAUUUGAAAGGCAUAGUUAAACGGAGAGAGAAAGAGCUUCCAUCCACUGGUUCUCUCCCCAGAUGGCUACAAUGGGUGGGGCUAGGCCAGACCAAAGCCAGGAGUCAGGAGUUUUAUCUGGGUCUUCCACGUGGCUCCAGGACAUGGGCCAUCUUCCACUGCUUUCCCAGGCAGGAGCAGCCGAGACUCAAACCGGCGCCGUAUGGGAUGCCAGCACCACAGGUGGUGGUUUUUCCUGCCAUGCCAGGGUGCCGGCCCUGCAUAUGAACAUUUCUGCUCCACUCUUUACAUCCUAACAGCAUCUAUGGAUUUUGGGUAAGACAGACCAGACGUGAGCCCCAGUCAACUUGUGACAAGUGGUGUAAUAGAUUAGCUCAUCAAUGAGCCAGUGAUUCAAACCAAACAAGCCCUGGACUUUGGUGCAGUGGUUGAAGGGUAGACUGGGGGUGUGGGUAUUGCGCUGGACACUAUUGCAGCUGUUUUGAUGUGAUGAAGAGAGUCAUCCAAAGGUGAGGCCAAUGAUCAGAAAGGGCAGAAUUAAAAGAAUUGAGGAUAAACAGAGAACUAGAUCAAGCCUUAUGUAAAGUCUACCCUAUCUUUAACAUUCACAGAUAUAUGAGCCAAUAGUUUUCAUCUAUUAAACUGAUUUAUCUUGUUUCCUUAUUUAUUCCAGAAAACUAGGUUAUCUUGAGUUUUCUCUCUUUUAUUUUAAGAUUUAUUUUUUUGAAAGGCAGCGUUAGAAGGGAAAAGGGAGGGAGGGUCUGGGCCAGGCCAAAGCCAGCAGCCAGGAGCUUCUUCCAGGUCUCCUACAUGGGUGCAUGGGCCCAAGCAUUUGGGCCAUCUUCCGUUGCUUUCUGAUGCAUGCUAGCAGGAGCUGGAUUGGAAGCAGAGCAGCCAGGACAUGAACCAGUGCCCAGAUCACGUGCUGGCACUGCAGGCAAAGGCUUAACCUUCUAUGCCACGGCUCUGGCCCCUGCUUGUAUUUUUGAAGAUUUAUUUAUUUAUUUGAAAGACAGAGUGAUGGGGGGAAGAGGGGAGAGAGAGAGAGAGGGAGAAAGAGAGAGAGAGAGAGAGAGAGAGAGAGAGAGAAAGAGUUCUGUCUGCUGAUUCACUUUCCAAAUACCCACAACAUCUAAAGCCAGGAUCCAGGAACUCCUGUGGGUCUCCCACGUGGGUGACAGAGGCCCAAGUACUUGGUCCAUCUUCUGUUGCCUCCCAGGUGCAUUAGCAGGAAGCAGCAUCAAAAGACUAACUGUUUGGGAUGCGGGUGUCCCACCGUGCCACAAUGUCAUUCCCCUUUUUGCUUGUCUUACAUUAAGUAAAUAGAAUUGGAAGUGAAAUUUGAAGUCUUUUCCUGUCUGUCAGUCUCACUUUCCUCCCCAGAGUUAACAACUGACAGCUGGUUCCUAUGUAGUUCUAUCAGUUUCCUAUGCAUUUGUAUUACUCGGUAUUAUAAAUUAUACCCUCCCUAUAUUUCAGAAAUUUCAGUACAUCCUUCUUCCUCCACAAUUUAUGUUAAUGCAAGGGUAUUCAUUGCUUAUGAUCCCAACUAUUUCUACCUCUUUCCAUCCAAGAUUUCUAAUCUGUUGGUGGUACAUUCCUGGGCUUUCCCAAAGCUUCCAAGUGAAAAAAUAAAUUCUUCUAAAAGUUCUCAUGCAAAAGGGAUGGGUCUGUUAUUAAGCAGGAGGUUUUUGUUUGUUUGUUUGUUUAAUUACACCAAAAAAAAAGUGAACAUCUGGUCCAGAUAAUCAGUCUUUCUGGAAAAUUACAGACCCAAACUAUCUUUAAAAGCUUGUUCCUUUUUAGGAUCACGCACUGGACAAGGAAAUAAAUUCCCAGAGCUUCAGUUGCACCAGAGAGAACUUCCUAGCCUCAAGACCCAGGUUGACUGUAAGAGGGUGUCAGAGGAUGAGGUGUUGGGGAAUUAUAUUCAGUUAGGCUUCUCUCAAAAGUUGUCAGCUGCCUCUGUAUCCAUCUUGGGAAGAACUACUGUAACAUUAUCUUUAAAUUAUUCAGUGUGGAUGGAGUUCCAGGCUCCUGGCUUCAGCCUGGCUCAUCUGCGGUUGUUGUGGCUCUGUGGGGAGUGAACCAGUGGAUGGAAGAUGUCUUUCUGUCUCUGCCUUUCUCUCUGUCACCCUGCCUUUCCAAUAAAUAAAACAAAUAUUUUCAAAAUAAAUUAUUCAGUGUGGGUCUCUGCAUGUCCCUACUUGGAGUUUCUAACUGCAGGGUUAAAACAAUUGUAGAUGAUUUAAUUUUUUGACAAAUGCUCAAGGGAUCAGACUCUUUGCCGAGAGAGAUAUCUCCCUGAGCUCAGCUAAAGAACAUCCCUGAGAAUGGACCUUCAUAGGGACCUGCACGACGAGUGAAACAGUGGCAGUUUUCUGGGAACAGAGCUUUCAGGCUGUUCCUCUCUGCCUCCUCAGAUGGCCGCUUUAUAUUAUGGUGAAGGUUGCAAGGCUUUUGGUUUUGAAGGCUGCUGGGUAUGUGGGAAGCAGAGACUGGGAACAGAGGAAGUUGUGGUGCCACAGAACUCCUGUUGUGCUGAGAGCUCACUUUCCCCUCGAUUAUACACUCAGAACGUUUCCAGGCGCUGACUAAUUUCCGAGUCCUGAUGAUUCGGGUUGAUAAUGUUUGUCAGUGUUGCUUUUGCUUUGGUGGAAGAGCAGAUGUUCAGAGGCCUCACUCUCUAAUUUUGCAAGUGCUUCAGCUCCUUAAAUUUUGAGCUUUACUGCAAGCCCAGUUGAGGAAAGUCAUCAGGAAACAAUUCCAAGAUGCUUCCAGGAGAAGGAAGUUUUGAACCAAUGAUAUGGUCUCAACCCCAAGAUGCCUCUGACGCUCAGAUGCCUCCGGGCCAUACACAUACACAUAUAUGUGUAUGCCCAUGUGUGGGGCCGUAAGGAAGGACCCGUGACCCUGGGAUCCCCACACAACUUUGGAAAACAGUAACUGAUACUUGAUAGUGAUCACAAGGGUUAUCUGUUUGGCUCCAGCCAUGACAGGUGAGCACCCGAGAGAAGAGAGAGUUAUUUCGGCUCACAGUUCUGGAGGUCCACGGCUGAAGGGCUGUAUCUGAUGGUGAGGCAGUGCAGGCAUUGCAUGGCGGGAGGCAGGGAGCAUGCAUGCGUGUGCCUCCUCUGCUGUCUGUCUCUCCUCUCAUGAAGUCACCAGUGUUCAGUCUGCCCCGAUGAUCUAUUCCUUCCUAAUUCCCUCCCAAAGGUCCUGCCUCCAUCACCAUAGUUGGGUGAAGUUUCCUCUCUCUAUUGUUUAUUUUUUUUAAUCGAAAGGCAGAGUUAUAGACAGAGGGGAUAGAGAGAGGGAGAGACAAACCACGUGCACGCACACCCGAGAGAUGGGGGGGGUCUUCCAUCAGCUGGUUCACUCCCCAAAUGGCUGCAAUGGGUGGGGCUGGGCCAUGCCAAAGCCAGAAGCCCAGAGUUUUUUCUGGGUCUCCCAUGUGGAUUCAGGGGCCCAAGCACUUGGGCCAUCUUCUUCUGUUUUCCCAGGUGCAUUAACAGGGAGUUGGACUAGUAGUGGAACAGCUGCGUCUUGAACUGGCACCCAUAUGGGAUGCUAGUUCUGCUGGCUGCAGCUUUACUCACUACUCCACAACACCAGCCUCUCUUUCUCUCUUUUAAAGAUUUAUUUAUUUGCUUGAAAGGAUUUACUUGAAAGGCAGAAUUAGAGAAGGGGGGGAGACACACACACACACACGUACACACACACAGAGGGGAGAGAGAGAGAGAGAGAGAGAGAUCUUCUAUCUGCUAGUUCAUUCCCUAAAUGGCCCCAGUGUUUAGGGCUGGGCCAGGCUGAAGCCCAGAGCCUGAAACUCCAUCCAGGGGUGAUCUCCCACAUAUGGGUGCAGGGGCCCAGCUACUUGAGCCACCUUCCACUGGUUUCCCAGGUGCAUUAGCAGAGAGCUGGAUUGAAAGUGGAUGCUGGUACUACAGGUGUUGGCUUAACUUAAUGCACCACUGUGCUGUCACCCUACUCUCAUUUUUAAAAAAUGCUAUUUAUUUUUUUGGAAGGCAGAGUGAGGAAAAAGGAGAGAGAUGGGGGUAGGGGAAUUUUUAUUUGUUGGUUCACUUCCCAAAUGCCUGCCUGCCUUAGGCCAGGCUGAAGCUAAGAGCCAGAAACUCCAUCUGUGUCUCUCACAUGGGUGGUGGCAACCCAUGUACUUAAGCCAUCAUCUGCUACCUUUCAGGAUGUGUAUCAGCAGGAAGCUGGAUAGGAAGUAGAGGUGGGAUUUGAUUCUAGGUGCUCUGAUAUGGAUUGUGACAUCACAAGCAGUGCCAUAAUGCCUGCUCUAGUUUUCAUUCUCUAGUUUUCACUCACAAUGAAUGUUAAAUUUCAGCACAUGAAUCUUUAGAGCACACACUCAAACCAUGUGCAAGCCUUAAUAGUGAAUUUCGACACUGAUAUGUGACUUUCUUUUAAAUCAUAAACUAGUGAGCUAGCACAUUUUAUUUACAGAAAAUUUUUUUUGACAGGCAGAGUGGACAGUGAGAGAGAGAAAGAGAGAGAGAGAGAGAAAGGUCUUCCUUUACCGUUGGUUCACCCUCCAAUGGCCGCUGCGGCCCGUGUGCUGUGGCCGGCGCACCUCGCUGAUCCGAAACCAGGAGCCAGGUGUUUCUCUUGGUCUUCCAUGCAGGUGCAGGGCCCAAGCACUUGGGCCAUCCUCCACUGCACUCCUGGGCCACAGCAGAGAGCUGGACUGGAAGAGGAGCAACCGGGACAGAAUCCGGCACCCUGACUGGGACUAGAACCCGUAGUGCCAGUGCCACAGGCGGAGGAUUAGCCUAGCGAUCCACGGCGCCGGCCUACAGAAAUAUUGAUAAUAUAAUAUUUGAUGAACAGGACAAUAGGCAUUCAGGGAUCAAAUGUAUGUUCAUCUUAUUAAGCAUUAGAUCUGUGAAACAUACACUCUAGUGAGUAAAAAUGUGUACUAUAGAUGUAAUAAUGGAUUACAAAAAGACAUCUUUAAUGAGUGUUUACUCUUUGCCACAUGUUGCAUAAGUUACUUUAUCUGAGUAUACUUCAGAUUUUCACUGAAAUUAUGACAUAUCAUAAUCCCUACUUGACAAUCAAGGAACUAUUUUUUUUAAAAGAUUUACUUUAUUUAUUUGAAAGAGUUACAGAGAGAGGUAGAGACAAAGAGAGAGGCCUUCCAUCCGCUGGUUCACUCUCCAGAUGGCCGCAACAGCUGGAGCUGUGCUGACCCGAAGCCAGGAGCCAGGAGCUUUUUCUGGGUCUCCCACAUGUGUGCAGGGGCCCAAGGACUUGGACCAUCUUCUACUGCUAUUCCAGGCCAUAGCAGAGAACUGGAUGGGAAGAGGAGCAGCCUGGACUAGAACCGGUACCCAUAUGGGAUGCUGGCACUGCAGGCCAGGGCUUUAACCCGCUGCACCACAGCGCUGACCCCAGAGACUAUUUCAGUCUACAAACCCAAUGUAGUAAUAUGUAUAAGAGAACAACAUCUAGCAUUGAAGGAUGAGUUGACAAGGUCAUUUAGCACAUAAGAUGCCUGGCUCUCAGGCUUAAAUGAAGGAAAGCCUGUGCUGUACGAUUCUCCCCUGUUACCCUUCUUCUCUGAUGUAUUAAAGCCAGAAGAAGUGGGUGGAAAGGGAGUCACUGAAGCUCAUCCUACCGCGUUUUCCACUGGGUAGGACAGUCGGGAGACUGAUCGCAAUAAACAAGCGGCUAUGUGGCAAGUACCUGGGACCUAUGCAGCAUCACCCGACACAAGGCCAAGUCCCUCCCUGCCUCGGAUCCAUGCAUGACCCCCAGCACCUGUAGGAUGAAGUGGAAGCUCAACAUGUGGCAAGACAUGGAACAUUCGUCAUGUCUUGCCCCUCAAUGGAACAGGACCCUGCUUCUUCUGAGACACGAGGCAGAGUUACAGAUUGAGAGAGAGAUCUUCCAUCUUCUGGUUCGUUCUCCAAAUGGCCACAAUGGCUGCAGCUUGGCCAGACUGAAGCCAAAAGCCUGGAGCCAGGAGCUUCUUCCGGGUCUCCCACAUGGGUGCAGGGGCCCAAGCACUUGGGCCAUCCUCUGUUGCUUUCCCAGGUGCAUUAGCAGGGAGCUGGAUUGGAAGUAGAACAGCUGGAUCUCGAACCAGCGCCCAUAUGGGAUGCUGACAUUGUGGGCGGUGGCUUAACCUGCUAUGCCACUGCCCUGGCCCCUAUCUGAAUACUUUUAUAGCAAUUUGACGUUGCUGCAACUUCCAAGCAUUUUGGUAUUUUAUUCAUUGUCCUUUACAAAACUAGCAGCCCAAGUUUGAAAAACAAACAAUAAACAAGAAUUGGUCCCGCA